GAAAUGUCAGGUUUCAUUCUCAAACCGAAAAUUUCUCCUCUCCUUUUCGGAUUUCAAAUUUCCCUCACCAUCCACCUUUCCUUUCCACUCUAAUGCCCUGAUUGAAUUAAGGAAGAAAAGCUGAAGCUACAGAUCCAAAAUCCUAUUCAUAAAGAGAGCGGGGAGAAACGUGGCGAUUCGUAGAGGAGAGAUGAUGAUGAUGACCAUGCUCCGUUCUGCCGGUGUAAACACCCUUGAAGCGUCACCGUAUUCCAGCGUUAUGGUCCGCCGGAUUAUGACGCUUGCGAUUCUCUGUGUUGUUGUUGCAUUACCAUGUUUUCUUAUCUAUAAUGCUGCCUUCACUUUCCGACUUCUCUCUCGCCCUUUUGAUGGCUAUUCUAUGUUCAACCACGUUUUCUCCUUUGAUGCCAUUGAGUCUGAUUUAUCUUCGUAGUGGGCCUUAGAAUCAGCUAAGUAGAUUCAGUGGAAGUUCGUUGGGAACGUCGAUUUUUUUUAGUAAUGUUAAACUAUCAGAGUUCAGACGAGAGACGACCGCCGAAGGUUUCUUGAGUGUCUGGUUUCGAUUUUAGUUGCCUCAGAGUUCAGACGAGAGACGAUCGCCGAAGGUUUCUUGAGUGUCUGCCUGUCUGAUUUCGAUUUUAGUUGCUUCAGAGUUCAGACGAGAGACGACUGCCGAAGGUUUCUUGAGUGUCAGCCUGUCUGGUUUUGAUUUUAGUUGCUUCAGAGUUCAGACAAGAGACGACCACCGAAGGUUUCUUGAGUGUCUGGUUUUGAUUCCAAUCGGUAGAGUUUUUUGUACGGGCGAUUUUAUUUUGGGUUGGCCCAACCCAAUAACUAUAAUGGAUUGUCCAAAACGGACUUGAUAAGAUUUAGGAUCGGUUUGGAUCCAACCCAAAACCGUCCAAUUGACAGCCCUGCCCAUGAGUCAUGACCAGACCCGUUGCUUGAGGUAAGUUGCAUAAAUCAAUAAAUAACACCACGACGAGUCACAUGAUGAAACGAGAUUUUACCUCGUAAUUCAUAAAUUUA